AAAAAAUGAUCCAACUAAAAAUAAUGACCCGACACAAAUCCGGUCCUACAUACUUAAAAGGGAGUAGGGUUUCCAAAUCCAUCAGUUGAGCUGAGCGGAGCUUCCCUACGUCUCCUUCACCAUGUUCCUGUUCACCAAUCUUCAAUUCGUGCUUCUACAUCUGUGGGUGAUAAAUACCAAACCCCUGUUGCUUGAAGUUGACUAUUCAAGCUUGCAUGAUAAAUUCGCAUGGGUUUUUGGUGCUAACACCCUGGGUUUCGUCUUCUGACCCUUAAUUCAUUCUUCUUGUAAGUAUUCUACCCUUAUAAGCUUGUAUUUUACCCUGUAUAUUAUUAUUGGUCCUCUUCUUCUUCUCCAUAUACAGUUAUAGUUGGGAUGGAGAUAAUGAGAUUCCCUGACCCAUUGAUAAUUGAAGAAGACCAAGGAGCUCAGUCGGUUGAAUCUAAUCUAACUUAGUGACCCCAACCUACUGAAAAUCCCUUUUUGUUAGCUGGUGUAAAUAGGCUCAAAGAUAUUUUAAAUUUUUUAAUUAUCUUCUCUGCUUGUAAAUAUGGUGAAAGAAAAUGUUGUAGCCUUUCCAUUUCUCUUAGAAUUUUGUGAAGCUUAGUCUUAAAUAGGGACAUUGGUGCUUGUCACUAUUUAUUAUCCUUUUAUCUUCACUUAGUAGCUGGUUGAAUACUGUAAAUAUGAACUGCUCUUGUUGAAAUGCUAAGUUAGCUAAGUAGUCCAUAA